UUAAAACAUAUUUAAUUGUUUUCAUUCGGUGCUAAAUAGCCAGUAAAAUGAAGCUGUUCAAUUUGGUUGUUUUGGCGCUGCUGGUGUCUAUCUUCAUAGAGCCAACACUUGCUGGGAGAGGCAAAAAGAAUAAAGCGAAGGACGAUGACGCUUUUAUGACAGGCAGAGUGGAAAGGUCUAUAGAGAAGAGAGACGAAACUAACGACGUCGUUGCCGUACAGAACAGAGCAGCUCGUUUUGCAGUAGAGACCUCUGAAGAUUUGAUCAGACGAAGUUAAAGAAUAAAAUAACCCAAUAAAUGAUUAUUAGUAAAGACUAAAGUUUGAGACCACCAUCGUGAUUUUGAAGAUUUCAGAUUUGGAAUUAAAAAGUUGCAAACAUUUUUAGUUUGAUUAAGAUUUGAUUUAGCUUUUGUUCUUUGCUUAUAAUUGCAAGCAAAAUAACUGAAAUUCAUAAUAACAGAAUAUGAUAUUGAAAAUACCCCAGUAAUUCUUUCCUCCAA